AGAACUAACCAGGAUUCCCCUAGUAACGGCGAGUGAACGGGGAUUAGCCCAUCACCGAAGCCCGUGUGUUUUUGCAUGCAGGGCAAUGUGGUGUUUAGGCUUGCACCUGGGACUGUGAACCUGCCACAAGUCCAGCUCCGAUUCUGGCUCAUUGUGUUCCAUAGAGGGUGAAAGACCCGUCGUGGUGGGUUUGUUGUUCUUCGCAGUCCUCAGAUGUGCAUGCCUACGAGUCGGAUUGCUUGAGAAUGCAGUCCAAAGUGGGUGGUAAACUCCAUCCAAGGCUAAAUACUGGCAUGAGUCCGAUAGUAGACAAGUACCGUGAGGGAAAGUUGAAAAGUACUCUGAAGAGAGAGUAAAUAGUACGUGAAGCCGAUUGCAGGGAAGCUGGUGGAGUCAAGCUUCAUGCUUGAGGGGUUGCUGUUUGGAGUAAUUGUUAUUGGCCGCAUUGAACUGUCAGCUUGGAAUAAGUUGGGCGCUUAACUGCGCUUCAAGUCAUUCUGGGAUGUGUGUUUGUACUGUUCAUUGUGUGUUCUGCUCUAAGCCGUCUAUCCCUCGCUGCAUAAAUCACAGUCGAUAUUGAAGUGUAGCAUAUUUGUCUAACUGUAUCGUGAUGGGCCUUGUGCUUGUCUGGUGCGGAAUGGCAUGUUUAGCCUUUGGCCUUGUGUCAUUGUGUUAACAAAGAAUUGGUCGACUCAUAUGCUAUAUCUUUUCUAUCGUGAUUG
rnacentral:rRNA from 1 species